UAGACUUGUAAAAGAGAAAAUACCUAAAAGUAUCUGAAGUAUAGAAUGUAUAAAAAUAACAUGUGAUAUUACUGGGAUACUAAAAAUCAGUUCAAAUUGUCUGUAACCAGUUAGUAACUGCAAUCAGUAUUAGCACAGAAAUCAGAGAUAAAUUUAUACAAAUUAAAAAAAAACAGUUUUCCUGGAUAAAUUUGAAGAACUUUACCUAGUUGUAUAUUUUCUCCAUUUAAAACUGUUGCUUUUCUGUGCCUAUAACUGAGCCUGUGUAAUAGAAAUAGAGUGCAGGACCCCUUUUCAUUGCAGUUCUUCAUAUAUAUAUUAAAAUUGUAUAGAGAUAGACUAACAUCUAAUUAUUUAGCACCAAAUACCUACUUUAGUCAGCAAAAUACUGACAGAAAACAUUCUUGUAAUAUUUCUCUGUGUUAGGAACACCACCCACUAGCAGAGGCAUGAAAAAUCCAAGCAGAGGAAACCCUCGUAUCCUACAGCUACUGUGAAUACCACCUGCCAAAGCCUUACAAUAGUUUUGUAGAUGCUUUUCUCUGUGUAGGGGCUACAUCCCAUGUACAAUGCAUACCGGUGUUGAAACUCCUACUGAAUGUCUGUUUUCGACAGCGAGCCAUUGGCAGUUGUACCACUUUGGGCGGUGAUUUUGUCACACCUUCCAGAAGGGCACUCAAAUGGACAGCUUCAUGUUAAAACUCAGUUCUAAUUCCUUGACAUCAUGAUCAUCUUCACAGCAAUUAACAUCAUCACAAACAGAGGAUUGUCUCUUCAAGGGAGGAAUAAGCAGCAUAAACUGAGAG